rnacentral:tRNA from 1 species
AACCAUCGGCCGGGAAUCGAACAUGGGGCGCCCGCGUGGCAGGCGAGCAUUCUACCACUGAACCAAAGGCAAACGGU